AUUGAACGCUGGCGGCAUGCCUUACACAUGCAAGUCGAACGGCAGCACGGGUGCUUGCACCUGGUGGCGAGUGGCGAACGGGUGAGUAAUACAUCGGAACAUGUCCUGUAGUGGGGAAUAGCCCGGCGAAAGCCGGAUUAAUACCGCAUACGAUCUACGGAUGAAAGCGGGGGACCUUCGGGCCUCGCGCUAUAGGGUUGGCCGAUGGCUGAUUAGCUAGUUGGUGGGGUAAAGGCCUACCAAGGCGACGAUCAGUAGCUGGUCUGAGAGGACGACCAGCCACACUGGGACUGAGACACGGCCCAGACUCCUACGGGAGGCAGCAGUGGGGAAUUUUGGACAAUGGGCGAAAGCCUGAUCCAGCAAUGCCGCGUGUGUGAAGAAGGCCUUCGGGUUGUAAAGCACUUUUGUCCAGAAAGAAAUCCUUGGCCCUAAUACGGUCGGGGGAUGACGGUACCGGAAGAAUAAGCACCGGCUAACUACGUG
rnacentral:rRNA from 1 species